rnacentral:rRNA from 1 species
AGCGAACGCUGGCGGCAGGCCUAACACAUGCAAGUCGAACGAACUCUUCGGAGUUAGUGGCGGACGGGUGUGUAACACGUGGGGACGUGCCUUUUGGUUCGGAAUAACUCAGGGAAACUUGUGCUAAUACCGAAUGUGCCCUUCGGGGGAAAGAUUUAUCGCCAUUAGAUCGGCCCGCGUCUGAUUAGCUAGUUGGUGAGGUAACGGCUCACCAAGGCGACGAUCAGUAGCUGGUCUGAGAGGAUGACCAGCCACACUGGGACUGAGACACGGCCCAGACUCCUACGGGAGGCAGCAGUGGGGAAUCUUGCGCAAUGGGCGAAAGCCUGACGCAGCCAUGCCGCGUGAAUGAUGAAGGUCUUAGGAUUGUAAAAUUCUUUCACCGGGGACGAUAAUGACGGUACCCGGAGAAGAAGCCCCGGCUAACUUCGUG